UGGGGAGGCUACCGUGCAAGCCGAGCGGUAGAGAUUCUUCGGAAUCUUGAGAGCGGCGUACGGGUGCGGAACACGUGUGCAACCUGCCUUUAUCAGGGAGAUAGCCUUUCGAAAGGAAGAUUAAUAUCCCAUAAUAUAUUAAGUGGCAUCACUUGAUAUUGAAAACUACGGUGGAUAGAGAUGGGCACGCGCAAGAUUAGAUAGUUGGUGAGGUAACGGCUCACCAAGUCUACGAUCUUUAGGGGGCCUGAGAGGGUGAUCCCCCACACUGGUACUGAGACACGGACCAGACUCCUACGGGAGGCAGCAGUGAGGAAUAUUGGACAAUGGGUGAAAGCCUGAUCCAGCCAUCCCGCGUGAAGGACGACGGCCCUAUGGGUUGUAAACUUCUUUUGUAUAGGGAUAAACCUAGAUACGUGUAUCUAGCUGAAGGUACUAUACGAAUAAGCACCGGCUAACUCCGUGCCAGCAGCCGCGGUAAUACGGAGGGUGCAAGCGUUAUCCGGAUUUAUUGGGUUUAAAGGGUCCGUAGGCGGAUCUGUAAGUCAGUGGUGAAAUCUCACAGCUUAACUGUGAAACUGCCAUUGAUACUGCAGGUCUUGAGUGUUGUUGAAGUAGCUGGAAUAAGUAGUGUAGCGGUGAAAUGCAUAGAUAUUACUUAGAACACCAAUUGCGAAGGCAGGUUACUAAGCAACAACUGACGCUGAUGGACGAAAGCGUGGGGAGCGAACAGGAUUAGAUACCCUGGUAGUCCACGCCGUAACGAUGCUAACUCGUUUUUGGAUUUUCGGAUUCAGAGACUAAGCGAAAGUGAUAAGUUAGCCACCUGGGGAGUACGUUCGCAAGAAUGAAACUCAAAGGAAUUGACGGGGGCCCGCACAAGCGGUGGAUUAUGUGGUUUAAUUCGAUGAUACGCGAGGAACCUUACCAAGGCUUAAAUGGGAAAUGACAGGUUUAGAAAUAGACUUUUCUUCGGACAUUUUUCAUAGUGCUGCCAUGGCCGUUCCCAGCUCGUGCCGUGAGGUGUUAGGUUAAGUCCUGCAACGAGCGCAACCCCUGUCACUAGUUGCCAUCAUUAAGUUGGGGACUCUAGUGAGACUGCCUACGCAAGUAGAGAGGAAGGUGGGGAUGACGUCAAAUCAUCACGGCCCUUACGCCUUGGGCCACACACGUAAUACAAUGGCCAGUACAGAGGGCAGCUACACAGCGAUGUGAUGCAAAUCUCGAAAGCUGGUCUCAGUUCGGAUUGGAGUCUGCAACUCGACUCUAUGAAGCUGGAAUCGCUAGUAAUCGCGCAUCAGCCAUGGCGCGGUGAAUACGUUCCCGGGCCUUGUACACACCGCCCGUCAAGCCAUGGAAGUCUGGGGUACCUGAAGUCGGUGACCGUAACAGGAGCGCCCGCACCCCACA
rnacentral:rRNA from 1 species